AUCAGGACUUCUCCUCCGCACAUGCCCGAACCACCUCAGUCUCGCUUCUCGCAUCUUCUCAUUAAUCGGGGCCACCCCCACCUUCUGUCGAAUAGCUUCAUUCUUAAUCUUAUCUAACCUGGUGAGCUCGCAAAUCCACCUGAGCAUCCUCAUCUCCGCUGUCUUCAUUCUCUGAACAUGAGAGUUCUUCACGGGCCAGCACUCCGCCCCAUACAACAUUGCAG
rnacentral:lncRNA from 1 species